rnacentral:rRNA from 1 species
GGGGGAUAUUGGACAAUGGGGGGAACCCUGAUCCAGCCAUGCCGCGUGUGUGAAGAAGGCCUUAUGGUUGUAAAGCACUUUAAGCGAGGAGGAGGCUCUUUUGUUAAUACCCAGGAUGAGUGGACGUUACUCGCAGAAUAAGCACCGGCUAACUCUGUGCCAGCAGCCGCGGUAAUACAGAGGGUGCAAGCGUUAAUCGGAUUUACUGGGCGUAAAGCGCGCGUAGGCGGCCAAUUAAGUCAAAUGUGAAAUCCCCGAGCUUAACUUGGGAAUUGCAUUCGAUACUGGUUGGCUAGAGUGUGGGAGAGGAUGGUAGAAUUCCAGGUGUAGCGGUGAAAUGCGUAGAGAUCUGGAGGAAUACCGAUGGCGAAGGCAGCCAUCUGGCCUAACACUGACGCUGAGGUGCGAAAGCAUGGGGAGCAAACAGGAUUAGAUACCCUGGUAGUCCAUGCCGUAAACGAUGUCUACUAGCCGUUGGGGCCUUUGAGGCUUUAGUGGCGCAGCUAACGCGAUAAGUANACCGCCUGGGGAGUACGGUCGCAAGACUAAAACUCAAAUGAAUUGACGGGGGCCCNCACAAGCGGUGGAACAUGUGGGUUAAUUCNAUGCAACNCGNAAAAACUUACCUGGGCUUUACAUAAUAAAAACUUUCCANANAUGGAGUGGUGCCUUCUCGAUAUACAUACANNNGCGGCUG